GCCGGGGUAGCUCAGUGGUAGAGCGACUGUUUUGUAAACAGUAAGUCGCAGGUUCAAGUCCUGUCCCCGGCU
rnacentral:tRNA from 1 species